CACAUCUGUAAGCCGCUGGCUGUAUUCACACAGAAGAGACAGAGAUUCUGGCCUCUGAGGUGGAAAAGAUCCAGGAGAGGAGAGAGCUGUGUGUGAAGCAAGACAAGCAAGAUCCAACCACUGGCAGGUUCUCUGUGAGGAAUUAGAGAAUGAGGAGAGAGGAGGAAGGGAAACACCCAUGGGGUUGAGAGCUAGCAAGUGCACAUCUCAAAAAGUUUCCAAUGAUACUGGUGAGACCGGCCUCAAGACCAGAGAGACACUGUCCUGACCCUGAAGAAGCCCACAGUCCUGUGAUGGAACAGGCAUGCAUAGCGGUGGUCUAGAGAAACUGGGUCAGAGGAAGCUUGCAGAGGAGGUGAUCCUGGAGCCAGAACAUGACAGCCAUGCAAGAUGGGGGCAAGAAAGAGGGCAGUUCAACCGUGCCAAGAUGUGAAACUGUAAAUCCACUGGCAUCUCCCGACAAGACCUCGUUGCUAAUAUUGUUUAGUACAAGAAACAGUGAGAGUUUACAUUGGUGAGGCAGAUGAGGGACAUCGUAUGGAAAAAUUAAGAGAUGUGGACAUUGACCUGAAAG
ensembl:lncRNA